CAGCAUAUUAUAAUCGCUAUGAAUGAUUAUCGACUACGUGUCAUGGCAAUUAGUGAAAAUUAACAACCCACUAACUCUAUAAUUAUGGUUUGAUAAUUUAGUACCAUAAAAAGCAAGAUCACGUGCUCGACGGUUACAUCAGAAUCAUCUAUAAAAGAAGGAUAAGUGAACAGCACUAGUAAGACAUAUUUGAGCCAAAGCUCUGCUACUCUCGACAUUGAUAAAUCUACUGUUCAUCAAUUUCCUCUAUGACU
rnacentral:lncRNA from 1 species